GAUGAACGCUAGCUACAGGCUUAACACAUGCAAGUCGAGGGGCAGCAUGAUUGAAGCUUGCUUCAAUCGAUGGCGACCGGCGCACGGGUGAGUAACACGUAUCCAACCUGCCGAUAACUCGGGGAUAGCCUUUCGAAAGAAAGAUUAAUACCCGUAAGUAUAGUAUUUUCGCAUGGUUUCACUAUUCAAGAAUUUCGGUUAUCGUUGGGGAUGCGUUGCAUUAGAUAGUUGGCGGGGUAACGGCCCACCAAGUCAACGAAGCAUAGUGGAAGGGAGAGGAAGAGCGGCCACCCUGGAACUGAAACGAGGACCAGACCCCAACGGGAGGCAGCAGUAGGGAAUGGUAAGCUAUGGGAGAAAGCCGGACGUAGCAACGCCGAGUGAGUGAGGAGGGUCUUCGGAUUGUAGAACUCUGAUUUUUGUGAAGAAGAUAUAAGUAGGUAACUGUGCACAUCUUGACGGUACCUAAUUAGAAAGACACGGCUAACUUCGUG
rnacentral:rRNA from 1 species